AUGGAGCAGCAGAGGAGGGAGACCAGCACCCAGAUCCGCCCUUCUCCGGCCUGCGCCAACACCGGUCAUGGCGCGACCCAGCAGGUGAGGAGGGAGACCAGGAGUGAGGGGGUGACGGCCAUGGGCGGCUACAACGCGUUCCUGGCGACCACGCUGCCGCCGGAGCACCGCAUCUACGACCCGGACGCGGACGGCCCGCCCAUGGGUGUCUUCAAGUUCCGGCACUGGGGCUACAUGGAGCGCCCGUUCAAGAGCCACCCUCCGCACAGCCGCCGCAUCGAGUUCUUCGGCGUCCGUCUCUUCCACGUCGAUGAAGACACCAAGGUGGAGAAGGCAGAGUUCUUCUAUGAGCGUGGCAACUUCCUCGCAAGCUUCUUGUCUGCGCCUGCUACUUCUGCUUCUGGUGCAUCGGCUUCAGUCUUUGCUGCCGCUGUUCUGAUAGGUUGCCUACGGAUGUCGGAAACAUUACACAAGCAUAAAGCCAGUGAAAAUGGCAAACAAAGUGUUGAAGCUGUGGAGGCCCAUCUGAUUGAUCCGCAAGAAAAGGUCGAAGAAAGUGCUAGUGUAGAUACCAAGAAGAGCUUAUUCAAGAAUUGGCCAUUGAUGUCUUCCAUAAUUGUUUAUUGCAUCUUCUCCUAUCAUGACAUGGCCUAUACAGAGGAGGAUGCCCGUGCUGACCAGGAGGACACCCUUCUGCACCUCGGCCACCACACAAGGUCGUCCUUCUAUUUUUUUCGCUGUUUGUUCAUGUCCUACUUGUGUUUCAGUUCCAUUGGCUCCUACCGCAAACAGGUCUAUAACAGGUUAACACCUGGAGAGGCUCGAGCUAUGAGCAGUGAGCUGUUGCUGCUGCUGCCGGAUGCUCCAGUGGCGAAACCUCCAUCGAUUCCCUCCACGGCCACUACCACUACCCUAGCUACUGCUGCCGACGGAACCACCACCAUAUCCUGGCUCGGCCAAGACCAGCUCCUUGAGAUCUUCCUCCGCCUGCCGAGCCUGCCGGCCCUCGUCCGUGCCAAGCUCACUUGCCGCUCGUGGCUCCGCUCCUUCCGCAACCUCUUUCGCGCCCUCCACCCAGGCGCCCCUCAUCAGGAUCUUCCUCGAUGUCGACGAAGGCAAUGUCCGCUUGUUUGCCCCCCUUCAGCCGCUCAGAUCCCAACGUCAAUAAGGACAUUACACUGGUAG
rnacentral:rRNA from 1 species